CCGCUAAGGAGUGUGUAACAACUCACCUGCCGAAUGAACUAGCGCUGAAAAUGGAUGGCGCUCAAGCGGACCACCGAUCCCCGACCAACGGCGUGAGUGCUUUGCGCCGUUGAGUAGGAGGGCGUGGGGCUCGUGAAGCAGCCGCGGGAGUGAUCCCCGGUGAAACGGGCUCUAGUGCAGAUCUUGGUGGGAGUAGCAAAUAUUCAAAUGAGAACUUUGAAGACUGAAGUGGACAAGGGUUCCAUGUGAACAGCAGUUGGACAUGGGUGAGCCGAUCCUAAGGGGUAGGGCAACUCUGCGAACAGCUUCAUUCUGUGAGGCUUCCUACCGAAAGGGAAACGGGUUAACAUUCCCGUGCCAGCGGAAGGCGAAUGGGUGGCAACACGUCCGAGCCCGGCGACGUCGGCGGAGGCCCCGGGAAGAGUUCUCUUUUCUUCUUAACUGGCCGUUACCCUGGAAUCGGAUUGCCCGGAGCGAGGGUUCUGCGUCAGGGAAAGCCUCCUAAGUCUUGGGAGGUCCGGUGCGCUUUCGACGGCCCUUGAAAAGCCGGGGGCGCGUUUGAUGUUCUUUCCUGGUCGUACCCAUAACCGCCUCAGGUGUCCCAGGUCAAGAGCCUCUAGUUGAUAGAACAAUGUAGAUAAGGGAAGUCGGCAAA
rnacentral:rRNA from 1 species